UACGUAGGUGACAAGCGUUGUCCGGAUUUACUGGGCGUAAAGAGCGCGCAGGCGGUCGAUCAAGUCGAGUGUGAAAGCCCCCGGCUCAACUGGGGAGGGUCAUUCGAUACUGAUCGACUCGAAGGCAGGAGAGGGUAGUGGAAUUCCCGGUGUAGUGGUGAAAUGCGUAGAUAUCGGGAGGAACACCAGUGGCGAAGGCGGCUCUCUGGGCCUUACCUGACGCUGAGACGCGAAAGCGUGGGGAGCGAACCGG
rnacentral:rRNA from 1 species